rnacentral:lncRNA from 1 species
AAGGGAGCUGUCAUCUCCAUCUGACGUAUGAGGAAAUGGAGGCCCAGCAAGGCGGAGCCACUGCUCUCAAAUCAUGUUGCCUCUGAGUUGUGAAACUGGGGUUUGAAUCCACUGUGACAUGGCCGAGCUUCUACUCUUCUCCAGCACCAGGCUACAAAGAAGUGAAGCCAAGGAGGACUCUCCUUCUGCAGGCCAUCGAGGGACAUGGGACAAGGGCCCACCUAGAACUCCUGGUUCACACCCAUGGCCCAGUUCAGAUGACAGCAUCUAUGCCCUUACUUGAGGACAAUGAGCACACUGUCAUCGUGCAAGACUGGGAGAGGAUGCGGACAUGGAGACGCCAUGUCCACUGGAGUCGAAUAGACCAGACGAGAAUCAUGGCUCUGCUCAAUGGACUUUGACAAAUGAUUCAACUUCUCCAUAAAAUGGCAUAAUACUAUCUACCUCAUAGUCUAUUCAUUCAUUUUUUUUUCUCCAAAUACUAUGGAGUACCUCAU